GAUCAUGGCUCAGAACGAACGCUGGCGGCAGGCUAACACAUGCAAGUCGAGCGGACCCCUCGGGGUCAGCGGCAGACGGGUGAGUAACACGUGGGAAUCUACCCAUCUCCAGGGAAUAACUCAGGGAAACUUGUGCUAAUACCCUAUACGUCCUCCGGGAGAAAGAUUUAUCGGAGAUGGAUGAGCCCGCGUUGGAUUAGCUAGUUGGUGAGGUAAUGGCUCACCAAGGCGACGAUCCAUAGCUGGUCUGAGAGGAUGAUCAGCCACACUGGGACUGAGACACGGCCCAGACUCCUACGGGAGGCAGCAGUGGGGAAUAUUGGACAAUGGGCGCAAGCCUGAUCCAAGCCAUGCCGCGUGAGUGAUGAAGGCCUUAGGGUUGUAAAGCUCUUUCACCGAUGAAGAUAAUGACGGUAGUCGGAGAAGAAGCCCCGGCUAACUUCGUGCCAGCCGCAGC
rnacentral:rRNA from 1 species